CAGCCGCCGCGGUAAUACAGAGGAUGCAAGCGUUAUCCGGAAUUAUUGGGCGUAAAGGGCUCGCAGGCGGUUUCUUUAGUCUGAUGUGAAAGCCCCCGGCUCAACCGGGGAGGGUCAUUGGAAACUGGGAAACUUGAGUGCAGAAGAGGAGAGUGGAAUUCCACGUGUAGCGGUGAAAUGCGUAGAGAUGUGGAGGAACACCAGUGGCGAAGGCGACUCUCUGGUCUGUAACUGACGCUGAGGAGCGAAAGCGUGGGGAGCGAACAGGAUUAGAUACCCGAGUAGUCCCUGUCUCUUAUAC
rnacentral:rRNA from 1 species